UACGUAGGGUGCAAGCGUUGUCCGGAAUUAUUGGGCGUGAAGAGCUCGUAGGCGGUCUGUCGCGUCUGCUGUGAAAACUCAGGGCUUAACCCUGAGCUUGCAGUGGGUACGGGCAGACUAGAGUGCGGUAGGGGAGACUGGAAUUCCUGGUGUAGCGGUGAAAUGCGCAGAUAUCAGGAGGAACACCGGUGGCGAAGGCGGGUCUCUGGGCCGUAACUGACGCUGAGGAGCGAAAGCAUGGGGAGCGAACAGG
rnacentral:rRNA from 1 species